UCAGAGACUGGUGCCGGCGUGGGUCCUCGGUAUGCUGAGUGCCGGUCCCCUGGGCUCACUUUUCUUUCUCUAUAGUUUGUCUCUGUGUCUCUUUUCUCAGUCUCUCAUCCCACCCGACGAGAAACACCCACAGAAGAAGUCAUCUACCAGGUUGUGAGGACAUACAAACAGCCUUUGGAGAGGCCCACGUGGGAAGAAACAGAUCUCUCAUUAACUACCAGCACCACCUUGCCAGCCUUGUGACUGUAUCUCCUUGAAAGUAGACCUUCCACCUGCAGUCAAUUUUGAUGUUGCAGCCCCAGCUGACAUCUUGACUACAGCCUCACGAGAUGCACUGGGCCAGAACCUCCCAGCUCCGCCAUUCCAGAAUUCAUGAUCUACACAAACCCAAAAAUACAUGAUGCCUUCAAGAAACAAGAAAUAUGAUUCGUUCCCAAUGAAAGAGAAGUUAAUACAAAUUGUCAUUGAGGAAGCCCACGCAUUGGCCUCAGUAGAUAAAAACUUUAAAACAGCUGCAUAAAACAUGCUCAAAGAGCCAAAGGAAACCAUGGACAAAGAACUAAAUAUCUCACCAAGUAGGAUAUUUCAAUAAAGAGAAAGAAAUCAUAAAAAGGAGCCAAACAGAAAUAAUGAAGAUGAAAAGUAAAAUAACUGAAAUGAAGAUUCAUUAGGGGGAUUCAACAGCAGAUUUGAUCAGGCAAAAGAAAGAUCCAGUGAACUUGAAGAUGCGUCAAUUGACAUAAUCCAGUUUGAGAAGCAGAAAUAGAAAAUAAUGAAAAAUUGAACAGAGUCUAUGAGACCUGUGAGGAACAAAACAAACAAAUAUAGACUUCCUGGGAGUCACAGAGAAAGAGGAAUAGUAGAGAGUAAAAAGACAAAAAAAGAAUAUUUAAAAAAAAUAAAGGACAGAAACUCAACAAAUUUGAUGAAGCACAGGAAUCUAUACAUCCAAGAAGCAUAACGACCUUGAAACAGGAUAAUUCAAAGAGACCUACAAAUAAGUGUUAAGUUGUCAUCAGUUUAAAAUAAUGGUUUAUAAUAUAGUAUUGGCAAGCCUCAUGGUAACCUUAAAUCAAAAAACAUGCCACAGAUAUACAAAAAAUAAUAAUCAAGAAAUUAAAACAUACCACCUGAGAAAAUUACCUUCGUUAAAGGGGAGGCAGGAAGGAAAGAAAGAAGGAAGAGAAGAUGGCAAAAUAAUCAGAAAACAAAUAACAAAAUGGCAAGAGCUAGUCCUCACUUAUCAAUAAUAACAUCGAAUGAUAAAGGACUAAAACAAAAGACACAGAAUGGCUGAAUGUAUGAAAAAACAAGACCCAAUGACCUGCUGCCUACAAGAAACUGACUUCACUUGUAAGGAUAUACAUAGACUGAAAGUAAAGGGAUGGAAAAAGCAACUCCAUCCCAAUGGAAACCAAAAAGGAGCAGGAGUCACCAUUCUUACAUCAGACAAAUAGAUUUUAAGACAAAAACUGUAAGUUGAGACAAAGAAGGUCGUUAUAUAAUGGUAAAGGGGUAAAUUCAGCAAGAGGAUAUAAUGAUUGUAAGGAUACAUGCACCCAACACUGCAGCACCCAGAUAUAUACAGCAAAUAUUAUUACAGCUUAAGUGAGAAGUAGACCCCAAUAGUAUAAUAGCUGGAGACUUCAACACCCCACUUUCAGGAUUCGAGAGAUGUCCCAGACAUAAAUUCAACAAAGAAACUUCAGACUUAAUCUGCAUUAUAGAACAAAUGGACCUAAUAGAUAUUUACAGAACAUUUUAUUUAAUGGCUGCAGAAUACACCUUAUUCCCCUUACCACAUGGAUCAUUCUUAAGAAUAGACUAUAUGCUAUAUCACAAAACAAGUCUUAAAACAUUAAAAAAAUUGAAAUAAUAUCAAGCAUUUUCUCUGACCACAAUGGAAUAAAACUAGGAAUAUAACAAGAGGAAUUUUGGAAACUAUACAAACAUACAGAAAUUAAACAAUAUGCUCCUGAAUGACCAGUCAAUGAAGAAAUUAAGAAGGAAAUUGAAAAACUUUUUGAAACAAACUAUAAUGGAAACACAGCAUACCAAAACCUAUGGGAUACAGUGAAAGCAGUACUGAGAGACUAAGAGGGAAUUUUAUAGCUAUAAAUGCCUACAUCAAAAAAGAGAAAAAACUUCAAACAAACAAUCUAAGGAUGCAUCUUGAACUAGAAAAGCAAGAGGAAACCAAACUGAAAAUUAAUAGUAGAAAAGAAAUAAUAAAGAUCCGAGCAGAAAUAAAUAAAAUUGAAAUAAAAAAUACAAAAGAGCAACAAAACAAAAGGUAGUUUUUCAAAAGAUAAACAAAAUUGAUGAACCUCUAGACAAACUAAGAAAAAAAGGAGAGAAGACCCCACUAAAUAAAAUCAGAGAUGAAAAAGCAGACCUUAAAACUGAUAUCACAGAAAUUCCAAGGAUCUUUAGUGGCCACUAUGAAACACUUUAUGCCAGUAAAUCGGGAAAUCUGGAAGAAAUGGGAAAACUUGUAGAUACAUACAACCUACCCAGAUUUUUUUUAUUUUUUAUUUUUUGGAGACAGGGUCUGGCUCUGACGCCCAGGCUGGAGUGCAGUGGCAUGCAUGAUCUUGGCUCACUGUGAGCUCUGCCUCCUGGGUUCACGCCAUUCUCCUGCCUCAGCCUCUUGAGUAGCUGGGACUACAGGCGCCCGCCACCGCGCCUGGCUAACUUUUUAUAUUUUUAGUAUAGACGGGGUUUCACUGUGUUAGCCAGGAUUGUGUCGAUCUCCUGACCUCGUGAUUCGCCUGCCUCCGCCUCCCAAAGUGCUGGGAUUACAGGCGUGAGCCACCGUGCCCAGACGCUACCCAGAUUUAACCAUGAAGAAAUCUGAUAUAUGAACAGACCAGCAACCAGUAAUGAGAUUGAAACCAAAAUAAAAAGUCUCCCAGUAAAGAAAAGCCCAGGACACAAUGGCUUCAGUGCUGUAUUCUACCAAAUGUCUAAAGAAGAGCUAACACCAAUGCUACUCAAACUGUUUUGAAAAACAGAGGAGGCAGGAAUACCUUCAAACUCAUUCUAUGAGGCCAAUAUUACCCUGAUAUGAAAACCCAGCAAAGACACAUCAUAAAGAAAAGAUCACUAUAGGCCAAUAUCUCUGAUGAAUAUUGAUGCAAAAAUUCUCAACAAAAUACUAGCAAACCAAAUUCAACAGUACAUUAAAAAUAUUAUUCGGGUGGAGCCAAGAUGGCCAAAUAGGAUCAGCUUCAGUCUACAGCUCCCAGCGUGAGCGAUGCGGAAGACGUGUGAUUUCUGCAUUUCCGACUGAGGUACUGGGUUCAUCUCAUUGGGGAUUGUCGGACAGUGGGUGCAGCGCACUGAGCAUAUGCCAAAGCAGGGCGAGGCAUCGCCUUACCCAGGAAGUGCAAGGGGUCAGGGAAUUUCGUUGCCUAGCCAAGGAAAGGGGUGACAGACGGCACCUGGAAAAUCAGGUCACUCCCACCCUAAUACUGCACUUUUCCGACGGUCUUAGCAAACGGCACACCAGGAGAUUGUAACCCACGCCUGGCUCAGAGGGUCCUACGCCCACGGAGCCUUGCUCAUUGCUAGCACAGCAGUCUGAGAUCAAACUGCAAGGCCACAGCGAGGCUGGUAGAGGGGCGCCCGCCAUUCCUGAGGCUCGAGUAGGUAAAUAAAGCGGCCGGGAAACUUGAACUGCCUGGAGCCCAUGAUAGCUCAAGGAGGCCUGCCUGCCUGUGUAGACUCCACCUCUGGGGGCAGGGCAUAGCCAAACAAAGGGCAGUAGAAACCUCUGCAGAGUUAAACCUCCCUGUCUGACAGCUUUGAGAGAGUAGUUGUUCUCCCAGCAUGCAGCUUGAGAUCUGAGAAUGGACAGACUGCCUCCUCAAGUGGGUCCCUGACUCCCAAGUAGCCUCACUGGGAGGCACCCUCCAGCAGGGGCAGACUGACACCUCACACGGCCGGGUACUCCUCUGAGACAAAACUUCCAGAGGAACGAUCAGGCAGCAACAUUUGCUGUUCACCAAUAUCCGCUGUUCUGCAGCCUCCCCUGCUGAUACCCAGGCAAACAGGGUCUGGAGUGGACAUCCAGCAAAGUCCAACAUACCUGCAGGUGAGGGUCCCGACUGUUAGAAGGAAAACUAACAAAUAGAAAGGACAUCCACACUAAAACCCCAUCUGUACGUCACCAUCAUCAAAGACCAAAGGUAGAUAAAACCACAAAGAUGGGGAAGAAACAGAGUAGAAAAACGGAAAAUUAUAAAAAUCAGAGCGCCUCUCCUCCUCCAAAGGAACAGAGCUCCUCACCAGCAAUGGAACAAAGCUGGACAGAGAAUGACUUUGACGAGUUGAGAGAAGGCUUCAGAUGAUCAAACUACUCUGAGCUAAAGGAGGAAGUUCUAACUAAUGGCAAAGAAGUUAAAAAUCUUGAAAAAAGAUUGGACACAUAAUUGUCAGAUUCACCAAAGUCUAAAUGAAGGAAAAAAUGUUAAGGGCAGCCAGAGAGAAAGGUGGGGUUACCCACAAAGGGAAGCCCAUCAGACUAACAGUGGAUCUCUCGGCAGAAAUUCUAUAAGCCAGAAGAUACUGGGGGCCAAUAUUCAACAUUCUUUUUUUUUGUUUUUUUUUUUUUGUUUUUUUUUUGAGACGGAGUCUCGCUCUGUCGCCCAGGCUGGAGUGCAGUGGCGCGAUCUCGGCUCACUGCAA
rnacentral:lncRNA from 1 species